rnacentral:tRNA from 1 species
GCGGGGAUAGCUCAGUUGGGAGAGCGUCAGACUGAAGAUCUUAAGGUCGUGUGUUCGAUCACGCUCCCCGCA